AGCCCAGGGAAGCUACGGAGCAAGCCAAACCAGAACCUACAAAAAAAGGUACAGAUAUGAUUGUUUUUGUUGCAUCAAAUGUAUAAUAGCCCAGUUCCUGAGAUUAAUGUUGCGUCUCAUCCAAUGAUUGUUUUAGAAGCUGAAGUUCCCAAAGAAAAAAACAAAGCAGCUACAUCAAAGAAAGGUACAAAGUUUGUUAAACACAGAACCCUUUUUCGCAACUGAGUUAAGCCAAGCUACAGUAUACUGGGCUGGCCUAGAUACCCAUCAACAGUAGUUGCUGGAACUGUGCUGGAAAGGACAAUUUGAAAAGAAAAUAUCUGAACAAGCACACUACGUUUUGGCUUGACUCUAUAGUCUGAAUCAGGUAAGACUGUAAUGUAUGAUACAAUAGCGGCAGGUAGCCAAGGUCCUUGGUGUCUUGAACCAGCAACCUUUUGGUUACUGGCCCAACGCUCUGGGUGAAAAAUCUGUUAAUUUGCCCUUGUGCAAUGCACUUAACCCUAAUCGCUCCUGUAAAUUGCUCUGGAUAAGAGGGUCUGCUAAAUGACAAAAAUGCAUCAUUUUUAUUUUUUUAAAUUCUGAUUUAGAUACUGGAGCAAAAGAAGAGGCCAAACUAACUCUAGCAAAGAAAGAUGCUGCAGCUAAAGAAAAGGUGAAAACAUCCCCUGCAAAGAAAGAUGCUGAAACAAAAGAAAAGGGCAAACUAGCUCCAGAAAAGAAAGGUAACAAAUUAUUUUUUAAUAGUUAAUUUUCCAUUUAUUCAAAUAAUAAGUAGGCAGGCCUAUGUGUCGGGUUUAAUGUAAUUUAUAAAACAUUCUAUCAAUAUCUUAUUGUAAUGACUGUACUUUUUCCAAAGGAAAAGCCAAACCAACUCCUGCAAAUGAAGGUAACAGAAUUAAUUGACUUCACAACUAAAAUGAUAUUAAAGACGGUACAUAAUCACAGAGAAAAUGGUUGUCUAGCUUUAUUCAUAAAGAAACACAUUUAUGAUGUAUUUGAUUCAGAUGUUGCAGUUAUUAAAGAAAAGGUGAAAUCAGCACCUGCAAAGAAAGAAGCUGAAGUUCACAAAGAAAAUGCCAAAGCAGCUUCCUCAAAGAAAGGUAUGUAUAACUUUUUUCUUUAGACUUGAAACAAAAACAUAGUCUUCCUAUAAAUAAAGGUCUGCCACAGAGUGUGCUUCAUUUCUCUCUCAACCAAUUAUUCAGUAUGGGUUUGAAUCAAUUGCAAUUUGAACCUUUGCUGUAUAUGUUAUCAUUCUUGUUUGAUUAGAGUCCAAGGAAACUAAGGAACAAGCCAAACCAGAACCUACAAUAAAAGGUACAGAUAGGAUAUUUGUUUUCUGGCUUCAAAAUGUAUAAUGGCCCAAUUCUUGAGAUUCAUGUUGUGUCUUGUCCAAUGAUUGUUUUAGACAGUGAAGUUCCCAAAGAACAAACCAUAGCAGCUACAUCAAAGAAAGGUGCAAAUUAUUCUUUGUGUACCACAGAUCUAGAUCGGUACACAGAUCUAGUUUACAAAAUAAUUUUUCUCUGAUUUAGAUGCUGAAGCAAAAGAAAAGGCCAAAUUAGCUCCAGAAAAGAAAGGUAUGAAAUUAUUUUUGAAUUGUUAAUUUUCCGCUUAUUCAAAUAAUAAGUAGGCAGCCUAUGUGUCCAUUUUAUGCUAUUUAUAAAACAUUCAAUAAGUUAUUAUUGUAAGGACUGUUGUACGUGAACUUAGAAGCUGAAGUUUCCAAAGAAAAAGCCAAAGUAACUCCUUCAAAUGAAGGUAACAGAAUGUAUUGAUUUUUAACACCACCAAUAUAAUAUUACAGACAGUACAUAAUCUCAGAGAAAAAAAAACAUCCUGCUAUAUUCAUAGAGAAACACAAUUAUGUUGCUUUUGAUUCAGAUGCUGCAGUUAUUAAAGAAAAGAUCAAAUCAGCCCCUACAAAGAAAGGUAAGAAUGUGGUUAGUAUGUAAUUAGGAAUUUGUUAUAAUAUUUGUUUGCAUUGUGUUGUAUUUAUUUAAAUUCACGG
ensembl:lncRNA